ACUGGUAAAGCUGUCCUUCAGUAGAAACUUCGAUGGCGGUCACCGUUUUAGCAAAGGCUGUUUCGGCCACAGCUUCGCUGAGACUGUCUUUUGCAGCCCCGAUCCAUCCCUGGGUGGGACCUGGAAUUCUGCCUCCCCACCCCCAGCGCAAGUUGGAGGAACAGUGCCCGAGACAGACUCGGAUGUUCCUUCGCUCUUCGAAUUAGAACGUUCUGAAGUGUCCCACACAAGAACAUCUGUUGGGACUAGUGUUCCAGAACUAAUGGCUCAAUGGGAAAAAGCAGAACGUCUAAACCUGCGUUGUCCAAUACUGUAGCCGUUUGCCACGCGUGGCUUUUGAGCGCUUGAAAUGAGGCUACUCCAUUUAAGACGUGCUGUUAAGUGCGAAAUACACACGGAUUUCAGAGAUGUUAGUAUGAACAAAAGAAUGUGAAAUAACUCACUGGUGGUUUUUUAUAUUGUGUUUUGGAUAUCGCAUUAAAGAAAAUAUGAAGAUUGAUUUCACCUCUUUUUACUUUUUAAAAUGUGGCUACUAGAAAAUUUUAAAUUAUAUAUGUGGCUCUCAUUUUUGAACAGCACUGAUCUAGAGACAGACUUGUAUUUGAUUCUCAAUUCUAAUACAGAUUCCCUUACCCUCUUGUCAUCAAGGUGACUUUGGUUGGGGGCCUAGCAGCAGACCUGUCCUUGAAAGUUUGAAAACCUGAAAUCCAGAGAAAUCAAUAAAAUAUUAAAUAUUAUAAUCAAUAAAAUAUGGUCUUAAAAUUUGCCUGUAAAUAUAGUACUUUAUGAUGUACUUUACGAAUUAAAGAAUGGAAACUUCUUGA